CUGAGGCCGCGUUUUUCAGGUGCCCAGAGGAUGUUCUAAACAUCGCAGGGUGAAACGGGAAUCUGGUGAAAACCCAGAGCUGCCCCCGCAACGGUAAAACAACAGAGAGCUUUGCUCUGGCUUUAAUCAAACCACUGUCUACGGAUGGGAAGGGAUUAAAGUGGCUUUUAUAUCCUUCGUACUUGAAGCUGCAGCUUUGUUGACUGCGUGCUCUCGCCCCAGUCACAUAGGUUAACUAUGCUCCUGAGGUCUCACGCACUUGUCGCCUCCCUGCAACUCCAAUUGCUUUGGCUAUAGAUUGCUUGUUGUCAGCCCGGAGACCGGCCUGAAAAGUUCAUUCACU
rnacentral:ncRNA from 2 species